ACCUGGGAUAGCUCAGUUGGGAGAGCAAAAGGCUCUUAAUUUCAGGGUCAUCGGUUCAAGCCCUGCGUUGGGCA